AUACGGAGGGUGCAAGCGUUAAUCGGAAUUACUGGGCGUAAAGCGCGCGUAGGCGGUUGGGUCAGUCGGAUGUGAAAGCCCCGGGCUUAACCUGGGAACUGCAUUCGAUACUGCCCGGCUAGAGUAUGGUAGAGGAAAGUGGAAUUCCCGGUGUAGCGGUGAAAUGCGUAGAUAUCGGGAAGAACAUCAGUGGCGAAGGCGGCUACCUGGACCAAUACUGACGCUAAGGUGCGAAAGCGUGGGGAGCAAACAGGAUUAGAAACCCGAGUAGUCC
rnacentral:rRNA from 1 species